rnacentral:rRNA from 1 species
AGCACUCUAAUGAGACUGCCGGUGACAAACCGGAGGAAGGUGGGGAUGACGUCAAUUCCUCAUGGCCCUUAUGGGUAGGGCUUCACACGUCAUACAAUGGUCGGUACAUAGGGUUGCCAAGCCGCNAGGUGGAGCCAAUCCCAGAAAGCCGAUCGUANUCCGGAUCGCAGUCUGCAACUCNACUGCGUGAAGUCGGAAUCGCUAGUAAUCGCGGAUCAGCAUGCCGCGGUGAAUACGUUCCCGGGUCUUGUACACACCGCCCGUCACACCAUGGGAGUGGGUUUCACCAGAAGAGGCUAGCCUAACCGUAAGGGGGGCGGUCGCCACGGUGAGAUUCAUGACUGGGGUGAAGUCGU